rnacentral:rRNA from 1 species
AGAGUUUGAUCAUGGCUCAAAUUGAACGCCGGCGGCAUGCCUUACACAUGCAAGUCGAACGGUAACAGGUCUUCGGAUGCUGACGAGUGGCGAACGGGUGAGUAAUACAUCGGAACGUGCCCGAUCGUGGGGGAUAACGCAGCGAAAGCUGUGCUAAUACCGCAUACGAUCUACGGAUGAAAGCGGGGGAUCGCAAGACCUCGCGCGGACGGAGCGGCCGAUGGCAGAUUAGGUAGUUGGUGGGAUAAAAGCUUACCAAGCCGACGAUCUGUAGCUGGUCUGAGAGGACGACCAGCCACACUGGGACUGAGACACGGCCCACACUCCUACGGGAGGCAGCAGUGGGGAAUUUUGGACAAUGGGCGCAAGCCUGAUCCAGCCAUGCCGCGUGCAGGAUGAAGGCCUUCGGGUUGUAAACUGCUUUUGUACGGAACGAAAAAGCUCUCUCUAAUACGGGGGGUGAAUGACGGUACCGUAAGAAUAAGCACCGGCUAACUACGUGCCAGCAGCCGCGGUAAUACGUAGGGUGCAAGCGUUAAUCGGUAUUACUGGGCGUAAAGCGUGCGCAGGCGGUUAUGUAAGACAGAGGUGACAUCCCCGGGCUCAACCUGGGAACUGCCUUUGUGACUGCAUAGCUGGAGUGCGGCAGAAGGGGGGAUGGAAUUCCGCGUGUAGCAGUGAAAUGCGUAGAUUAUGGGGGAGGAACACCGGAUGGCGAGGGCCAUUCCCCUGGGCCUGCACUGACGCUCAUGCACGAAAGCGUGGGGGAGCAAACAGGAUUACAUACCCCUGUAGUCCACGCCCUAAACGAUCGUCCAAGUGGGGUUUGGUUGGGGUUCCUUCACUGGACUCAAGUAACGAAGCUACGCAGUGAAGGUCGACGGCUGGGGAGUACCGCCGCAAGUAAACUCGAGUAUCGACGGAUCGCUCAUCUCGGUGGAAAUAAUGCUAUUUAAAGUUC